rnacentral:rRNA from 1 species
UAACAGUUAGAAAUGACUGCUAAUACCGCAUAAGACCACGGUACCGCAUGGUACAGUGGUAAAAACUCCGGUGGUAUGAGAUGGACCCGCGUCUGAUUAGGUAGUUGGUGGGGUAACGGCCUACCAAGCCGACGAUCAGUAGCCGACCUGAGAGGGUGACCGGCCACAUUGGGACUGAGACACGGCCCAGACUCCUACGGGAGGCAGCAGUGGGGAAUAUUGCACAAUGGAGGAAACUCUGAUGCAGCGACGCCGCGUGAAGGAUGAAGUAUUUCGGUAUGUAAACUUCUAUCAGCAGGGAAGAAAAUGACGGUAUUUGUUUAAGAAGCCCCGGCUAACUACGUGCCAGCAGCCGCGGUAAUACGUAGGGGGCAAGCGUUAUCCGGAUUUACUGGGUGUAAAGGGAGCGUAGACGGUUUUGCAAGUCUGAAGUGAAAGCCCGGGGCUUAACCCCGGGACUGCUUUGGAAACUGUAGGACUAGAGUGCAGGAGAGGUAAGUGGAAUUCCUAGUGUAGCGGUGAAAUGCGUAGAUAUUAGGAGGAACACCAGUGGCGAAGGCGGCUUACUGGACUGUAACUGACGUUGAGGCUCGAAAGCGUGGGGAGCAAACAGGAUU